GUAGCCACAGUACCAAAAGAGGGGAAGGAGUGGGGACAAACGACGCUUGAUUGCUGGUUGAAUGCCCCCACUCCUUCCCCUCUCUUCGUGUCUGGCUGCUGCUUCGCUUCUCCUACUCUCUCUCUCUCAUUAGUCUGUAACUGGCAGUGACGGGACGAUGUCGUGCGCGGUGCUUGUCUGCAGCCGUGAUUGAGGGACCAGCGAGCAGCGAGGCCGCCAGCGACCACCAGGUGACUGUAGAGGACCACGGCCACAUUUAGGUGCAUUGCAUCACAGGCCCCUGAUGUGAGUCGUCGAAGUUGAGCGAGAUGAUGCUGCUUCGCUUCUCCUACCCUCACUCUCAUUAGUCUUUAACUGGCAGUGCCUGGAGGAUGACGUGCGCGGUGCUGGUCUGCAGCCGCGCUUGAUGAUUGAGGGGCCAGCGACCACCAGACGGACUCCGUGGACCUCGGCUGACCCGCGACCGACGUCCACAUUUCGGGUUUGCGACCUCGAGUACUGUCCGGACAACCAGUUCCUUGCUUCUGGCGGAAACGACCAACGACACUACGUUUGGAACCUUCAUCCCUCCAACCAGUCCAAAUAUGCUCUUAAAACUUUGUAUCUUUAUUUAAAUUGUAGUUAUUUUCAAAUAUGUAAUUGGAGAAAUAAAGAUAAACCCUGAAAAUUAAUUCAGAAAUGUAUGUAAAAUAGAAUUGUAAAUUGUAUAACCCUACUCUUUGCAUUAUGCUAUGUAACUGGCAGAGGUGGGGAAUCCCUAAUGUCACCUUUUUCCAUUUUCCCUUUUCUCAUUUCCCUUAUGUUCCUCUUUCCAUUUAAUUCCCAGCAGUGGGAUCCUGUUUGCGCCUGUGGUGCAUUCGGGAAUACCCUGCUGUUAACCUUUUCCUUUUUCCCUUAAAUUCCUUUUCCUUUCAAUUCCCUUUCCUUUUAAUUCCCAGUAGUGGGAUCCUGCUCGUGCCUGUGGUGCGAGUGGGAAUACCCUGCUGUUAACCUUUUCCAUUUUCCCUUAAAUUCCUUUUCCUUUCA